rnacentral:rRNA from 1 species
GAUGGUAAGGUAAGGGCUUACCAUGGCGACGAUGGCUAGGGGUUCUGCAAGGAAGAUCCCCCACACUGGUACUGAGACACGGAGCAGACUCCUACGGGAGGCAGCAGUGAGGAAUAUUGGUCAAUGGAGGCAACCCUGAACCAGCCAAGCCGCGUGAAGGAAGACUGUUCUAUGAAUUGUAAACUUCUUUUGUGACAGAGUAAAGAUAGCUACGCGUAGUUAUUUGCAAGUAUGUCAUGAAUAAGCAUCGGCUAACUCCGUGCCAGCAGCCGCGGUAAUACGGAGGAUGCAGGCGUUAUCCGGAUUUAUUAGGUUUAAAGGGUGUUCAGGCUGUCUGGUAAGUCAGAGGUGAAAGUCGGUUGCUUAACGAUCGAAUUGCCUUUGAAACUGUCAGACUUGAGUAUGGAUGCGGUAGGGGGAAUGUGUAGUGUAGCGGUGAAAUGCAUAGAUUUUACACAGAACACCGAUUGCGAAAGCAGCUUACCAAACCAGCACUGACGCUGAAGCACGAAAGCGUGGGUAGCGAAACAGGAUUAGAUACCCUGGUAGUCCACGCAGGUAAUCGAUGCUCACUCGCUGUUGGCAAUAGAUCGUCAGCGGCUAAGGGAAACCGAUAAGUGAGCCACCUGGGGAGUACGAUCGCAAGAUUGAAACUCAAAGGAAUUGACGGGGGCCCGCACAAGCGGUGGAACAUGUGGUUUAAUUCGAUGAUACGCGAGGAACCUUACCUGGGCUUAAAUGUACGAUGCAUAAGUGUGAAAGCACUUUUUCCUACGGGACUUUGUACAAGGUGCCGCAUGGUUGUCGUCAGCUCGUGCCGUGAGGUGUCGGGUUAAGUCCCAUAACGAGCGCAACCCCUAUUGUUAGUUACCAGCGCGUAAAGGCGGGGACUCUAGCGAAACUGCCGGUGUCCACCGCGAGGAAGGUGGGGAUGACGUCAAAUCAGCACGGCCCUUAUGUCCAGGGCUACACACGUGUUACAAUGGCCGGUACAGCGGGCAGCGAGGCAGCGAUGCCGAGCGAAUCUCGAAAGCCGGUCCCAGUUCGGAUUGGAGUCUGCAACCCGACUCCAUGAAGGUGGAAUCGCUAGUAAUCGCGCAUCAGCCAUGGCGCGG